AGGACUAAAUAAAAGGAUCACUCCUCUGGAGGAGUUAGGCAGGGAAUAGUUACAGCUCAAGCCGUAAAGUCAGCGAAUCCAUCACGAAUCUAUGCCCGCUUUUCGUCGAAUUAAAGAAAAAAGGAGUUCCACAAGUAGUGAGUCCUAAAGCCGAAAGACUUGACAAAAGGAGAGUUACAAGCGGAAGGUAACACAGUGACGGGUAGUGUGACAGUUGGAACUUCGUCAUCAGAUUGCGUCGCCCAACUCAUAUUCAUUUUUUUUUUUUUUUUCGGUACAGGUUUCCCCAACUUACCAAAACGUUUCCCAGGGUGUGACGGGCGGUGUGUACAGGGCCCGGGUACAUAUUCACCGCGGCAUGCUGAUCAGCGAUUACUAGCGAUUCCAACUUCAUGUUCCCGAGUUGCAGAGGUUAAUCUCUU
rnacentral:lncRNA from 1 species